rnacentral:rRNA from 1 species
GGCGGCAUGCUUUACACAUGCAAGUCGAACGGCAGCGCGGGGCAACCUGGCGGCGAGUGGCGAACGGGUGAGUAAUAUAUCGGAACGUACCCAAGAGUGGGGGAUAACGUAGCGAAAGUUACGCUAAUACCGCAUACGAUCUAAGGAUGAAAGUGGGGGAUCGCAAGACCUCAUGCUCCUGGAGCGGCCGAUAUCUGAUUAGCUAGUUGGUGAGGUAAAGGCUCACCAAGGCGACGAUCAGUAGCUGGUCUGAGAGGACGACCAGCCACACUGGAACUGAGACACGGUCCAGACUCCUACGGGAGGCAGCAGUGGGGAAUUUUGGACAAUGGGCGCAAGCCUGAUCCAGCAAUGCCGCGUGAGUGAAGAAGGCCUUCGGGUUGUAAAGCUCUUUUGUCAGGGAAGAAACGGUAGGAGCUAAUAUCUCUUGCUAAUGACGGUACCUGAAGAAUAAGCACCGGCUAACUACGUGCCAGCAGCCGCGGUAAUACGUAGGGUGCAAGCGUUAAUCGGAAUUACUGGGCGUAAAGCGUGCGCAGGCGGUUUUGUAAGUCUGUCGUGAAAGCCCCGGGCUCAACCUGGGAAUUGCGAUGGAGACUGCAAGGCUUGAAUCUGGCAGAGGGGGGUAGAAUUCCACGUGUAGCAGUGAAAUGCGUAGAGAUGUGGAGGAACACCGAUGGCGAAGGCAGCCCCCUGGGUCAAGAUUGACGCUCAUGCACGAAAGCGUGGGGAGCAAACAGGAUUAGAUACCCUGGUAGUCCACGCCCUAAACGAUGUCUACUAGUUGUCGGGUUUUAAUUAACUUGGUAACGCAGCUAACG